AGGCGCGUAGCCCAGUUGGUUAGAGCGCUACCUUGACACGGUAGAGGUCGGCGGUUCGAGCCCGCCCGCGCCUA
rnacentral:tRNA from 3 species